CAAAGAUUGAAGCAGAAAGGACUGAGUGGCGUCACCUUGAAGUGGAGAGAAAAGGCUGAUGGGAAAGUUUUCCACAAGGAGGAAAAAGGUUCUGACACGAAAAAAAAGACUGAGCUUUAAUAUUUGAAUUCAACUUUUAUUGCAUGUGCUAAUGUUUCAUGUGUGCACGUAUACACACCUCUAUCACUGUACGCAGUUAAACCAUACCAAUGAAUGCUGUUGUAGAAAAACUAGCCUUUGUGCUUAUAUGCUUAAACUGUGCGUCUGUGUAUAAAGAGCAUCAGGAACUUUAUGCAGCCCGGGAAGAAUGUCUAAUUAACACCAGACACAGGGAGAGUCUCCAUCGGAAGGAAAAUGUAAUUAGUUGCUAGGCAGCACAGGUCAAGCCCAUGCAAAACAGAUUUCUGGUUGCAACUGUAUGCUUUCACCAGACAGCACCAUAUAUCCAGCAUAAAGAAAUGUAAUAAUGUAUGCGCCCUUACUGGAAUGAUUGUUUUUUGAACCUAUAUUAAGUGUGUGGAAAUGUAAUAAUUCAUAAAAAAUGCAGAUAGACAUCGCCCUAAUCUAAUGGAGUCUGGAGACAGGACCUUCUAAAUCGAGUAAGGCCUGAAACAGAGGCCUCCAAAACUCCAAGAUUUAUAAUGGUGUCAAAGUUGGACCAACAACCACAACUUUAAUACACCAUUAGAAUCGACCCCUGACGUAACUGUAGGGGGAGACAAAGUCAACUUGGGAAAGUAUGACACCAUUCGGUUCAGGACGAAUCAGAAGUUUUGAACCAAUCAGGAGGUGGAGAGAUCCACCUCCUGAUUGGUUGAACGGGCAACAGCAGAGACGAGGAUGAGCAUAUAAGCAGAGGGUUUGAAGCUCAGUCUUCAGUUGGGUUCCGGAGCCAGCUCAGGUUUACAUCUUGUAAAAAAAAUAAACUCUACUGCAUUGAACUCU